rnacentral:miRNA from 1 species
CUCCAACUGAGACGACAUC